GAGAAACCGACUGGAGGGAUGAUAGCCUCACCUUUGUUUUUGGAAGUAAAAUAUCCAGUCCUUUGGGUCUUAAGAAACAGAUCUGUUUUCAGGAAAAAGAAAAAAAAAUAAACUACACUUAGAAGCAGACAAUAAACUAACCAAAACCAAACCACAUGCAAGAAACAUUGAUCUUGUCUCGUGUAAAAGCACCUUCACCGCAAUUCCCACCUAAUGAAACCACACCGUUCUUCUGACUUGAUAGAUCAACCAGGUGUACAGUUCGGCAGCAUAGACUUCAGCUGCUUUGAGUCCUUGCCUUUACAGUUCACCUUCCCAAAGGAUUUUGAAUAGUUAUGUUUUGCUUUUAAUUUAACUCGGAGACACGCUAACAGGGCCCUCAACUUUGCUCUUCUUAUAUGCAUACCAUAAGAGAGUCACCACAGAAGCAUACAGUCUCCUUUUAUCUUCGCUUACCUCACAUUCUUGUCUCCAUGAUGGCCCAGAUUUAGUAAGAAGGUUCCAGGACCAGCAGUAUUUCCUCACACUACCUCCUGGGUUGGGAGUCAGUAUAGGUGCUUUGUGGAUCCACUCUGAAAUACUGAGAAGACCCAGGAGAGCCCAGGCCCUUAACCCCUAUAGCUCUGUGUAGGUAAAGGUCACAACUUAAAGCUGCCAUGUCCAUGCUAAAAAUCUCCAGUCCCAGUGCAGUUUUGGAAGGGCCAGGCUAUUUCCCAAGGUAGCUACAAUCUUCUCAGAAGGCUUUGCUUCUCACUGGUUUUAACUUUUCAUGUAUUCAUUAUCUCUGACGCUACAGAACAGUUGUGUUCUGUCGAUAGAGUCAAGCCAACAAAUACUGCAUUAAUGUAAUAGCAGAAGUAGUGUGGAAGUUUGGGGCACAGCCUACUCAGACUUUAUAACUUACUCCACAGUGUAAGAAUUUGAAGAGGAAAUAAGUAUCCUCUGAGAAAUGGGCGAGGGGUGGUUUGUUAAAGUGCCAGUUUACCCACGUAUCUCACUAUGAUUAUUUGAAGCUUGCAGCAAGUCAGUGAAAUAUCUCCACAGAAGAGGAGACAUUAUAUGCUUUCCUUUCAAAGUGUUCAACUUGGGAAGCAAUAAGAGGCAAUGGCUUCUUGUGGCACAAGGACAAGGGAAAUUAUCACUGUCUACCGUCAGGUCUUGCUUUCCUGUUUCUAAUAUAUCCACUAAGAAAUCUAAAUACAUCCUUUUUGCUUCAGUUAUUUAAAACUAUCUUGUAUCCAUAACAUAGUCUUACAUAACAUAGACAAAUCUCACAUAAAUACCGUAACCUGUUAUUAAGGCAGGAGGAAGAAAUGAAUGUCUGUCCUGCUAUUUGUGGGUUUUUUUUCUAAUAAAAAAAGGGAGAGCCGUCCCAUUUUGGGACACUGAGGAUGAUUUUGGGACUAAAUGCAAGUGAACUUAAUUGAGCUAGAUUUUUAAUUAAUAUAAUUAAUUAUGCUGUUAAUAUCUAAAUUUACAAGGCAAUUGCACUGUGAAAAAUAAUCUCUCUUGGUAUUACGGCCCAUAAUACAUAUUAGCCUUCCAUCUGUGCAUAAUAAUUUGUCACUUUUCAGCCAAAGUAAUUAUUCUUGCUAAAAUUCUGCUCAGAGAGAUUCAAUCAGAGCUUGGAACAUAACUUGGUUGUGAAUCCAUUGCUAAACAUUACAAUUCAGGGUCCUCUUUUGGAUGUUUAGAAGAAGUACAAUCGCUAUAAAAGAAUUUAUGAAAUUUACUAACUUACAAAACACUUGGAAGUCCAUAUCAAAUAAUUAAGGAGGAGAGGAGGAAAGGAAAGGUGGGAAGGAAAUGAGGGAAGAAAACACACACUAGUUUACUGGGUCAAUCAAAAGGUUUUAGAGACUAUAUGGAAAACAGGUAGUCAAGGAAAGGAUGUUUUUCCUUAAAAUAAGGCAUUCCCUGUAAACGUAGUGAGAAUUUCCUUUGCAAGGAGUGAUUUUUAAAAAUACUGGUUGAUCUUAAUUCACUUGUCCUUUCCUGAAUGAAACUACCCACUGAAGGUAAGAGUCUCAGAAAGUGUGACUGAGAUAUUGUGAUUGUGAGAAAUGUUUGUGCUUUUUUUUUUGUAAGAGCUUCCUUCCCACUGGUGAACUUGUGAGGACCUGGAUAAUCUCCUAAUCUCAGAAGGCAGAAUGCCUUGCUUGCUGUGGAGAAGUUCAAAUGGUCUGUUCAGUUUAUUAACACUGUACUAAAAUGCCUCCUACUAGCAUUGCCUGCCUUAUGCCAGUAACACGAUGUUCUAGGUCUGCUUCAGUUUCUUUGAGGUAAUAUUUAAAGGGAAUAGUCAAAGUCAUAUGAUUAAUGACUAAAAAUAUAGUUUCAUUACUUCAGAGGCCAUUUAAUUAAUCUGUUAUAAAUUGUUUUAAUCUGGCGGCUUUUCACAGGAAACACAACCACAGUUCUCUCUUGGAUGACGCUUCUAUUUCAGUUUUAGAUUCAGCCAAAUGCGUCUUUGAUUUGGCAACAUGGAUAGUGCUGGAGUAUUUGGUAACCUUGUGGUUGAUGACUUUCAUGUCCUGAUGACCAGAAUUCCAACUGUGUGAAUAGCUCAUAUGGUUUGGUAAACAAUGGCAAUUUAGUUGAAUACCUCCAUGGAACAUGCUAGGCAGUGUUGCCCAAUGCUUGCUAUUAAUCUAUUUUUAAACAAACACUGAACACUCUGAACUCAUUAACACAGAUAAAGGCAGGUAGUGUCUCAUACCUCUAAUAUGCCUCAGUUUACACCUCUGGAAAUGGUAAAGUGAUAUCAUACCCUUGUGAUUCAACCUUAACUCCCUUCUCUGAAGUUGGCAGUUGCCACAGAUGUGAUUCCAACAGGUCAGCACAGAGGUUGAAAGGUGACCAACAGGUUCUCCAAUAGUAGUUCACACUCUCCAUCACCACUCCAGGACUUUGGCCCGUAUGACCUUAAUUCUGGCCAUCCACAGUCUUGCUGCAAGGAUCUGACACACUGCAUCAUUCAUGCUCACCGGCUCUAUUCCCCUUCUUCUUAGCCUUUGCAGACCACAGUAUGGAUGAAGAAGAACCAGGAACAACUUUCAGCACUACUUCUGACCGGAUAUAUCUGCUGAAGAGGUGAAAAAGGGCAAUCCACGGUUUCUAGCUAGAUGGGAGCAUGAGAGAAAGACUGUCCAGACAAGGAGGUGCGCCCUUGCCUAACCUGUGACCCUCACAGUGCUCUAGUCACCAGGUGAAAGUGCUGGGGAGGAGGAGCUGAAGUCAAGGCCAGGAAUUGGCAGGACAGUACUCAGACACCUCUUCUCCAAACUUUCUAACAGCACUCCAGCUUUCUCGCACCAAAUCCUUCCAGCUGAAUAGUGGAACCAGGUGGCCCCUUUACACCUUCCUCUGCCUCACUUGAGUCACGGUAAGCAGCUCUACCAUCAUUCUUUUCAGUGCAUGGAGAAUCUGUGACCAGAGAUCACCUAGGAAUUUACCAACGAUUGUAUCCAUACACACAGUCAGUGGAGCAGACGUGUCUUUGGGAUCCUGAAGGCUGCAGCUGAACAAAAUGAACCACAACAUCCCAAGGCAUCCUUGUGAUGGCAGUGCCUGUAUUCUGUCUGUGGGUAUCAUCAGUGAGCAUCAUAGUUACCUGCAAUGGCAUUCUCUCCUCCGCAGCCAUAUGAACUGAAUUAAGGAGUCUGUUCAUAGUAUCAGUGUCCAAUCUCAGAAAGCAUCAACUCUACAAUAAAUCUGUGACUGAAUUGGACUGAUGAGUACUGUAUGGACAGGUAGUCAUUUACUGUAACAAGAGCAGAAAAAUCGUGAGGUAGGAGGAAUAAUAUGUCAGCUGAGGAUUUCUGGUUGCCUGUGUCGGUGGUGCUUAGCCUCAGCAAAGGAAGAGUUCCUGUCACUCCAUACAGGUCAUGGGCCUGAGCAAAGAGAGUGUGCCAUUCCUGCUGCUGUGUGCCGCAGUGAAGCACCUGUAAAUUCAUAAAGAGGCAGCUUGUUUUUUUUUCCAUACUUCUAGAACACCAUAGGUUCAAAGCAUCCAGAAGGUUGUAAGCAGCCCCAGAUUCCUGCUGUGAGGCCAUGGGAAGGCUUCAGAGGCCAGUGAUGAGCUCUGAUAAUGACUGUUGUUCUUCCCUGAGUGAAAGUUCCAGCUGCCCUGCAGCCUUAAACCUGCCUUUGGACAGUCUGGCCUCCAGUACAACUCUUAAGUAGAAGCUGCUUAUUUGUUUUUCAUAGUUGCUGCCAAUAGGAUACUCUUUUCUUGCAGAAAAUGGCCUGAUGUUGACUGAAGCCAUAGAGCAUGUAGAUUGAACACUCAUUCUGCUUUCAGAAAGAAAAUGUGCUCAGCAUUAUUUUUCUUUUGGUGGAGUGGCAAGGUACAUGGAGAUCCUUCUCAGGUCUGGAAGCAGCAGGUUCAUCUGAAGACAAGACAGGUGUGCUUGGGCUGGCUUGGAACCUGGAGAGGCAGGCUCUCUUCAUCACUGGGCUGUAACUGUUUCCUCAUUUAGAGUUGACUGGUGAUACCUAGGAAGUGGAUCCCAGAUGAUUUCUCCUAAGGUUGUGACAGACAGGGUUCCUGACAAAUAUUUUUAUUAGACAGCAGCCAGGCGGAUCUGUUCCCUUGGCCAUGUAGUCUGGUGACAGCCAUUAACACAGUGUAACUCUUUGGCUUUGGAGGACUGUGCAAAAUUCUCAGAACCCAGCUAAGUCGUGGCUACCAGUGCUGAGGGUUGAGAUUUGUGCUGCCUGUGAGUCUUGUGUGAUGGGAGAAAACACUAGAACAGAAUGCAUGGAAUGAAUAACUGUUGUGCAGUCUUCGACUCUUACUUGCUCAGCUCAUCUAACAUGAGUUAGGAGGAGUUCAAUCAGACUGACUGUGCAGACAACUCCACAAAAAUGAUUGUGAGCAUAAAGCCAUUCCAUAAAGCCAUACUGUCCUUUCCAGCUGCACACAUAUUCUACUUACUGUUUGAAAAAUGUUUUUCUAACAAUUUUGUUGACACUUUUUUUAAAACAAUCCUGUCGAUUCCUUCUCUUUUUGAUGGUCUAGGUCAAGCUGUCCAGUGGCCAGCCUUUCUGACAGUAGUGUUCUCAUGGGGUGUUUUGUCAAGGACUUGGCCAAUUCCCAUGCAGUAUAUAGUCAUCCUCCCCCAGUUCCUUGCUUGUACAGAUAGACCAGUCCCUCACCACCUCUAAUAGGGGUUGUCUCUUGAUUGUUCUGAUCCUUAACUUAACCGUGAGAACAAUACACAGUACCAACCUAUACUCUGUACUAUCUUUUGGGAUGUGUCAAGAGUGCCAAUGGAGAAAUCCAUAUCUGACUUGGCUGUGAAGUGCAAACCGCUUCAGAAUCACCCCUUUCAUGAUUUCUUUUAGGAAUGGAGAGAGCAACAAUGAUGAGGAUAUGUGUACAACUACUGUCCUGAGGAUGUGGAAGCCACGUUUUUAAUCUUUUGCUCUGUAUUACUUACUGCUGCAUUCUAUUUUCUGCAUCUCUGUAACAAGGGAAAUCCUUCCCUUGCUCUGAGUGCAGAUGUUUCCUGUUGACAACAGUAUGAUAGUGCACAAUGCACACCAUAGUGUCCAUAAGAGUACAAUUGCUUGGUGCUGAUCUGGAGAUGAUCUAUUGCUGCUGUGGUGGCUCAGGCAAAGGGCUAUCAGACAGGGUACAAGUGAUUUUCUAGGUACUUCAGUGUAGUUUGUGUCAUCUACAGGAUAAGCAACACUGCCUCAGCUUUCCACACAGCUGCUAAGAACAAUUUAUUGUUGUUUGUACUGCGUGAUGUUAUUGUUUGCUGGACCUGAUUCAAACUACCAUGUUCAUUUUGGCCACAUGGAACCCAGCAAGAAUUAUGGACAAAAUGUCUGGGUCUCACAGAAGUUACCUCUGCAGUUACCCACUGUCUGUGAUGUCUCAGGGCAGAUCUCAUCAAUCACCCAGGAAAGUGUUGUAUCAGAUCUGCUAUCACAAAAUAUUUACAGUAUACAGUAGGAAAGAUGAAAUCUCUUCUAGAUAAAGUAGGGCUCUGGCUGAGUGCCCAGCCUUGCUGCCAAACAGCUGGCCUUGCUGCUGGAGCAGAAAAUAGAAAGAGUAAGUAUGUUUCUCUGGAGGAAUGUGCAUGAAGGUUAACAGAGGUAAGAGUCCUUAUUCCCACAGACCAAAAUUACCUGGAGACCUCAGUAACAUCCAUUCCAAAUUCUUGUUGGAGAGCCCUUAACAAAAUCAGUUUAUUUAAAAUGAAAGCUCAUUCAAAGACUACCAUUCUAAAUGACCAUGGAGGCACAAAUCCCUGUAUGCUUGCAGGUUGAAAAAUACGGUGUUAUGGAAAUCAGCCUCUAGGAACAAUGAGAGCUGUGCUAUGUGUUUUGUAUUUUUUCCCUUUCCAACCCAAGCCAUUCCAUGACUGAUUACUCCUAAUACUGAGAAAGCAUUUGGGUGGUUCACAUAACCUUGUUUUUACCAGCUGGCCUCUCUCAUUUGCCCUUCUGUCUGGAUUGGAUGGCUAAUUUGCUCAGCCUGCACACGCAUGUGCCAGUCAGCAUCAUAGUUAUUUUUAAGCAUGACUACUUCACUUCCAAUAGGUUGACAGAGAAGUGAAAUUCCUUGUGUGAACAUCAGGCAAUAAUUCUUUCUGUGCAAAUGGUUGUAAAGUGUAGAUUUUGUGUUUACAUCUUUGUUUCACAUCACUGAGAAAAAUAUCUUUUGCUAAAAGGAAACCAACUUGGGGCAAAAACAUACCAUUGAAGGUAGAUUUUGUCAAGAAGUGGAACAUGCAAGAUGAUGAAGCACAAUGAGGGAUUUUCAAUAUCUGGUAUCCAACAACUCUUGUGAUUGCUUCAUUAGACUGUCCAUAAAUUGACUAUUUCUUAAGUUGCAACACAAUCUUAUAUCUGAGCAAAACGUUAGUUUUUAAAAUGAAACUGUUUAGAGAAAAUCUGAGCAGAGAAUGGGCCAAAUAUCCCUUCAGCUGGGGUACAACUGCAGGCCUGUUUUGCAUGCCCAGUUAUCAGCUGCUGGGGAGAGCAUGGAUCUGUUACGGCUAUUGUGUUUAAUGCCACCUAUGUCUAAGCACAGUUAAUGGGGAGUUCAUAGUAAGUCUGUGUGUGUGUGGCUGUGAGCAAGGGACGUGAACUCAGGUGCUGGUACAUAGGUGCCAGCAGCUAGGGAGAGUGGAAUCUAAGGGCAGCCACUGGGCAGGUUGAGUGCUUGGGUCCAGCUGCUGAGGGGACCCACCUUAUACAUAGAAAUGUAUCUAUUUCCUACUAUUUGUCUGCUUCUGUAGUCCACACGUGGCAGAAACUCUAAACUAGAGAAGGGGACCACCCUCACAGGUGCUACUGUGACUUGCAGUAUGUGCUCUGGGCUGUGCUUACUGGGAACUGGAAGCUGUGGUGCAAUAGGUAGCCAGUUAAUCCACAUCUGUGCAGUGCCCUGAUAAAGCAACUCAGAACAGAAUUUGACUGAAUUUCACAUCCAACAGAAGUUAGAUAAUGCAGCUUAUGUUUCUAGUUAGCAUUGUAAUAACACAGACACCAGAUGCUGGAAGAUGACAUAAUUGCUUGAUGGAAAAUAAAGCACAGUUUGUAAUCUGUACUGUUACUUUUUUUUUUUUUUUAAUCUCUUCUGAUAUGCAUAUGAAAUAAGAACAUUCAAGAAAAUUAGCAGGAUUAAUGUUGUGAUACACAGACUCCAUAUUUCCUAUGGACUAUCAGCAGCUCUGCGUGCUCUGAAGUUCAGCUACCCUUUUCACACAGAGGAUGGUGAUGCACUGGAACAGGUUGCCCAAGGAGGUUGUGGAUGUCCCAUCCCUGGAGGCAUUCAGGGCCAGGCUGGAUGUGGCUCUGGGCAGCCUGCUCUGGUGGUUGGUGACCCUGCACAUAGCAGGGGGGUUGAAACUCAAUGAUCAUUGCGGUCCUUUUCAACCCAGGCCCUUCUAUGAUUAUGAUUCUAUGAUACAGGAGCAAAUAAUAUUACAUUUUGCAAAUGACUUGUCUACACUGAACAGGAAGUGAACGCUAUUGUGGUGGCAAUUCAUCUACUGUGAAGAAUUGGGAAAGCAAGUACAAUUACUUCACUUUUAUGGACUUCUGCUAGUAAUCCUUUUAAAAGUAGUAAUUAAUCAAGAUUCGAAACGUCUGCCUUCCAAAAUAUGGUGCAACAGUUUCAGUUUAAGAAAACUGCUGAAUGCAAUCGACUUUCGCCCACAAGUGCAAUGCAAUUGUUUUAUUGCCCAAUUUUAUGUUUAAAAACUUGCAUAAACUCUUUUUUCAUCAGGAGCAAACAGCCAUGAAGAAAAGCCGAGAGCAAUGGGAAUUUGGGCGCUUCCUUUCUGAGCCACUUUCAUACCAGUGUAAGUCCUGGCUCCACAUGGCAUCCAGUUCUUGCUCACCUGUAAUAAACUAGAUUUUGGUGGUGGGGAGCACUGUUAGAUGCAAGUAUAGAACAUCAGUUACAUAUUUUAUUUUAUAUAAGUUUAUCUUGAUAUAUAGAAAUUUAUCUUGUGAUUUCUACAUGGGUGGGUUUUUUGUUUGUUUUCUUUUGCUUUUUUUUAUGUAUAUGGUCCAGUUCACAUAGUGGUUAUUCCAAUACAACUUUACUACCACAGCCCUCAAGACCUCAUUUGGGAUAAUGAACUCACAGGUACAAAAGUCUUGGCCACCCUCCAUGAGUUAGAACAAGGACUGCUAACAGUAAAGUAAUCAAGCCAGAUGCCACAAACUGUUUUUAUUAGUAGGGGAUCUCUGGGAAAGGUGCAGGUGAUGUGAGUAGAGAUGUCUGUUAGAAACUGUGAUAGCUAUUUACUACCUAAUAGAGAGCAUACACAUUUCCUCCUUCUGGAAAUAGCAAACCAGAAUUCAUUUUCACAGUGUGUUUUCUUUCAAAAAAGGCCUCUCAAUAUCAUAUUCUCUCACAGAUAGAUAAAUUCUGUCAAAGAUCCUGAAAGGGGAAGAGAGUACAAAUGAAGCAUUACAAACAAAAAAAAGAACAGCAUUUGAAUAAAAGGUCUAGAAUUUGCCCAGAAUGAUUGUAUAAUUUUCACCAGUUCACCUUGCUGUGUCGUAUGGUAUGCGAGAACAAACUGCCUUAAAUACAAUUCUGUACUUCAGUUGUGGCAGGUUACAGCAGUGUAAUUAGAACACAAAACAAACUAACAAACAAAAAACCCAGAAGAUUGUUCUUUGUUUACAUUUUAUUUUUAAUAUCCCAGUUAACUAGAACAUCAGUAAGCUCCUCGGAGGACCAUGUGUCUCAGAUCUCCAUUCUGCUUCAGGCAAACCAUAAAUUAACACCGAGCGAAAUAAGCUAAACUUUUAAAUAAUAUAAAUAUUUAGCAGCAUAGAAUCAGAGCAAAAUUGAUGCAUCAGUAGAAAUUUCCUGUGAACUACAAUAGAAGACUACCACCUACAAACAGUCACACAUCUCUUGAAUCUUCACCUUUUCAUUAGAGGGAGUAGAACAAAGAGGAAUCACAGGUUAAGUUGCUGUAGCCAAGUCAUUGGCUACAAUGUCAUUGGCUACAAUGGGACAAACCAGUUAUUUGUCCCAUUAGUGCUUUUUUAACUAAGACCCAAAAUACAAAUACUAGUUGACUGUAAACCACGCAAGUACUUAAACAUUUAGAUUAGAUGUUGAUGCACUUUGCUCUUCUAAAAGGGAUCCUGAUAGCUGGAAUGUUCAGAUACCAAUAUUUAAGAACUGCCACAAGGGUGCAAUAUGGCUUACAAAUACCUGGAUAUAUCAGACAGUCUCUGAAAUUCUCUUCAGACUACACUGUAAGUGAUCAAAACAGCUAGGAUCAAGUGUGAUAUUAGUGUGAUUAAAAAAAUGGAAAAGAUGUAAACAUUAAAAAAAGAUAAAAAAGAU